AGGAGGAGGAGGAGGAGAAAAGAAAAGAAACAAAAAGGACAAAACCAUAACAACUCCUACAAAAAUAGCACAUGCAAAAAUCAUGGCACCUCUUUUGUGUUAACCAAGUACUCCAGAGCAUGAGGAUUACUUUGGAGUCUGGUAUAUAUACUCAGUACUACUCUGUGAUGGUUUGAAUGAAAAUAACCUCUAUAGGCACAUAGGGAAUGGCAUGACUAGGAGUUGUGGCUUUAUUGGAGUAGGUAUGGACUUGUUGGAGGAAAGUCACUAGGAGUGGGCUUUGAGGAUUCAAAUGCCCAAGCAAAGUCCAGUGUCUUUAUCUGUCUUCUGCUGCCUGCCUAUCAAGAUGUAGAACUUCUGGAUCCUUCUUCAGCACCAUGUCUGCUUGCAAGCUACCAUGCUUCCCACCAUGAUGAUAGUGAACUAAAUCUCUGAGCCUGUGAGCCAGCCCUGAGUGAAUAUUUUUCUUUAUAAGAGUUGCUGUGACAUGGUGUCUCUUCCCAGCAACAGCAAUCCUUACUAAUAAACAUUCCUUAGCUUCUUGAUUAGGAAUAUAACUUUGUGUCCACUUCUCCAUGUUUGAGUUUUGUCUAGUCCCAACUUGUGCAUACUGCCACAGUCUCUGUGGGUUUAUAUGUGCAUCAGCCCUGUUAUGUCUGGAAGAUGCAUUUUGCUUGGCGUCAUCUACUGCUACCUCUGACUCUUAUAUUCUUUCUGCCUCUUCUUCUACUGAACCUUGAUAGGAAGGGUUUGAAGUAGACAAUCCACUUAGAGCUGAAUCUGCGUAUUGCCUGGCGGUGGGUUUCUGUGUUAAUUGUUGUCUACUGCGAGGAGAAUCAUCUGCAGUGAGGGCCAAGUGAGACAGUCACCUUUAUGUAUAGCAAUAUGUCAUGAAAAGUUGUUUUACAGCUAUGUUCAUUUAGCAGAAUAGUAGCAAAUAGGUUUUUCCUACGACUACUGAUCUAUAGUCCGGGGUUCUUGGCUUCAAUAACAGUGUCAGAUGUGUGUUCUAUCUAAUGGUUGGCCCUUUGAUCCAAUUUUUAAAGACCUCCCAUAACAUUUGUGCCAUUAUUCCAGCAGCAUAUCUUUCAGGGAGAUCCUUGUUACAGGUCACAGGGUUUUUAGCUAGGUGAUAUUAGUGAUUGCUUUUCUCCUCUGGUAGUGUGCCAAGUACCUUCCAGUACCAUGAACAUUAGUCAGUAGGGUUGAAGCUUGUAGUUGAGCACUAGUUAAAUUUCUCCAUGAUCAAUGACAUGUGUAAGUUAGGUCUUCUUCUAUAGGGCCUUACCAUCAGGUUAUAUAAAGUAACUAGCCAAGAGCCUUAGCAAUAGUCUGUGGUGUUUGGAGUCUCUGGGACCUCUUUGGCCAAUGUCUCAUCAAGAUGUAACCCAUUCCUGGUAGUGGAGGUUUUACUUGGUAGUUGGAGCACUCUUUCCCCAUUUCAUGGUAACCCCAAUUAGAUUAUUUUUAUAUAUUUUAGUAAACUUCUAAAGCAUUGAGCUUCCAUAUGGCCUUUCCAAAGGCAUUUUGUGUUGGUUUUUUCUCCCCAUAUUUCCUCCUUUAUUCUUUCCUAUUCCCUUCCCCAUUUAAUCUUCCUUUUCUAGUUUCCCCUUCAUCUAUUAUUGAUAGCACUAUAGUCUAUUUCCUCUUUCUUAUGAGAACUUUUGUCUCCCCCCUCCACCCAGAUUUUAUGUCCACAUUAUUUAUCCAAGUCAGCUAGAAUCCUCCAUCAGCUCCAAUAGUUGCUCAAAGUUGAGCUCCUAUUCCCGGCUUCCACAGCAGCAGGACUACCUAUUGAUUCUUCCCAUAGUAAUUUGAACUUCAGCCUGUUGAGGAACCUUGAUUUUAGCUUAUCUAAAGGAGAGAACCACACAUGACCUUCUUGUUACUGAUUUCCUGCCAAGAAUUAAGGGUAUGAACAAGGGGUGCAGUUCCAAGGUUCCCUUGGUCCCCUCUAGGACUGCUCUAGUUUGUCACUGUUUUCUUUCAGCUGUAGCUGCAAACCAACAUUGUUUCCAUACCCUUUAUGUAAAGAUGUUGAUUUCCUGGGAGCUGAUGCUGGGAGGAUUCUGCUACCCAGGAAAUUUAGGGUAAAGGGUAUUUAGUAAUAGCUGUCCUGCCCAAGGAUCCAGGGCUGGCCAAAACCGCAUGAAACCAACUCCUGGGAGCUGUUGAGUGUGAAUGAGAUGUGUGGGGGGAAAAGCUGUGCUUCACUUGAAGAUAUUAAAUAAAUUAUUGGAACUGAAAAAAAAAAAGCCCUGAACCAGCAGCCAUCUAAAAUUGAAAACAUGCCAGAGAUAAGUGAUCUUUGGAAACCAUAGCUUAAGGGAAGUUUCCAGUGCCCACCAAUUCUGUCUGAAUUCUGUGCUUAUACUGAAUCCAUCAGAGCACACUCAUGAGCUUUCUUGUCUUAAUUCCCUGAAGAAUCACUUUGACCAUGUUGAGUUCUAAUUGUCAGCCUUCCAAGCUUAUCCAAGGAGUGAGUAAGACAUAGUCCUUCCUUCCACAUUUAUAUACAGCAAUCUCAGGAACUCCUACGUAAGAUUUCAUACAAAGAAUAUUUUUCAGAAUUUAAUGCCAAGGUCGACUCAUUUUAUUCAUACAUGAUGUAUUUAUUUUGGGACAAAAAUUUUUCUAAGUUUUCAUUCUUUUCUUGAUUCCUACGAUAUUCAGAGCAGUGUUUCAGUUCUUGGAACAAAAUUAACUCUGAUUAUUAAGUUUUAUUCUUUCCUUUACUUCAAGGUCUACAAAAUUCUGUGUCUUAGAAGGGGUCAAGUAGGUACAGAGAGAUGACAUUUGACAUCUUACUCAAUGCACCCUGUUUCAAGUUCUGCAGAAACACUUACUCAUCCAGAGCACUGUUGACAUUAUUUUCCUCUCCUUUCCUAGGUGAAGAAAGUUACUGUUAUUAAUAGAACCAGAGUAUAGUUUUGAGUCUGUAGGCGAUGGACUGGGUCCUUUGAUCCAUGCAAUUUCCUCUGUACCAGGCUGUGAUAUAAACAAUGAGCUGUGGUAAACUCAAUCUUUAUCUGACUCCUGAGAAAAUCCUACUUAGAGAUGUUCCUUUUGUGUCUUUUCAUACUGUUAGAAGAAUAUAUAAGACUUCGAAUCAGUGAUGUCACCACAAUGAGAUAGAAGAUGUUGGUUGAUACAAGUGAAAAUUAGUGGUGCUGAUAAAGAUGAUUGUGUUGAUGGUGCUGGAGUAGCUCAUGGUAAUAACUAUGAUGUGAGAUGUGGUGAUGACAGUGUUGAUAAGAAUGAUGGUGUGGGUAAGGAUGGGGCUUUUGCAGCAUCUCAGCACAAAAGGACUUUGCGGUGAGUACCAAUUACUUCCUCCUAUUCCUUCUGUUGUGCUUGCUUUUAAGAGAUUGCUUCUGAAACAUAUAGUUUAUUUGAAAGUUGAAUAAACUGAGGUACAAGAGACAUUUGGUAAUUUACAAAGUGCCUACAGGUGGAGUGGUAAUAUUAGAAUUUAAAUCUAUCUUGCUAACUGUCACCACCUACUCUGUGGCUCAGUGGGAGAGGUAAACAGAACCAGCACACAGAGACAAGCAUCUGAGAACAGACAGCAAGCAGCAGUACUUGCCAUUGUGUCCUUGAGUUUGACAAGUUUGAAGAGACUAGAGACCAAAGAUACACAAGUCAAUCAAUUUAAGGAGAUUUGGGAAUAUCUAACCCACAUCAUUGUCCAUGUCCAGCCCACAGUUGAGUAGAAAAGAAUGCUGGGCUAUAUGACAUACUUGGGUCUAGAAACACUGGGCCAAAACAGCAGGAACCUUCUAGAAGGGCAGUGUGGCAAAAGCAGGGAUCUAUUCAGAUCUCUCUUGGUCUUUCUUAUUGUUUAGGUAUACUCUUCUUACAGCCUCAGUGUGCUUUUCAGUCUAACAGUUUCUUCAGAAGAUGCUCUUGACCUGGUGUAGCCACUUUGCUACCCACUCCACCACCCACCAUGGUUGUGUAAUAUUUGAUGUCCCUUUGGAAAGGUGGUAGCCAAAGACAGACCCUGAGGGAGUAAAUGAUGUCUGUACUCCUUAGGAUAUUCUCUAGUGUUGUUUGCAUCCUCAAACUCCUUGUGGCCCUGAGGAACACCCUAGAACACCCUCUGCAGGACUUGCCUGGAAUUACACCUCUAUUUGGCUUCCUCCCUUUUAUAUUGUUUUGCUCAUUCUCUUUCUUGAUCAAUUCUGUUAAGAACAACCCUCCAAAAAAUCACAUGCACAGGAAUCUUCAUUCAUUUUUAGAUAAGCUAAGUUAAAUGUUUAGAAAUGUGUAAAGGCUAAGCAAGCUGUAAGAUGGUAAUAAGAUCUCCUACAAGAUAGCACACCAGCAGGGAUUUGUGAGGUUGUGGUUCAAUCUGAAAUGAGCCUUACAGACUCAUGUUUUGAGUGUUUUUUCUCCAGCUACGGGCAUUGUUUUGAGAGUCUAUAGAAUCUAUAGGAGUCUAGUGGCUAGAAAUUGGUCACUAGAGGUAGACCUAGGAAUUUUAUAGUUCAGACACUGACUCUGGCAUUUUCUCUGCAUCCUAUCUUUUAUUGUGUGAGCAGCCAUGACCA
rnacentral:lncRNA from 1 species